rnacentral:rRNA from 1 species
UACGUAGGGUGCAAGCGUUGUCCGGAAUUAUUGGGCGUAAAGAGCUCGUAGGCGGUCUGUCGCGUCGGCUGUGAAAACCCGGGGCUCAACCCCGGGCCUGCAGUCGAUACGGGCAGACUAGAGUGCGGUAGGGGAGACUGGAAUUCCUGGUGUGGCGGUGAAAUGCGCAGAUAUCAGGAGGAACACCGGUGGCGAAGGCGGGUCUCUGGGCCGUAACUGACGCUGAGGAGCGAAAGCGUGGGGAGCAAACAGG